GCCGAACGCUGGCGGCGUGCUUAACACAUGCAAGUCGAACGAAGUGGCGAACGGGUGAGUAACGCGUAGUCAACCUGCCCUUCAGAGGGGGACAACAGUUGGAAAAGACUGCUAAUACCGCAUACUGAAGGAGGGGAUUUCGUCUGAUUGGCUAGUUGGGGGGGUAACGGCCCACCAAAGCGAUGAGCAGUAGCCGGUCUGGGAGGAUGAACGGCCACAUUGGGACUGAGACACGGCCCAGACUCCUACGGGAGGCAGCAGUGGGGAAUCGUCCGAAAUGGACGAAAGUCUGACGGAGCAACGCCGCGUGAGUGAUGACGGCCUUCGGGUUGUAAAGCUCUGUUAAUCGGGACGCGGUACCGGAAUAGAAAGCCACGGCUAACUACGUGCCAGCCGCCGCGGUAAUUC
rnacentral:rRNA from 1 species